rnacentral:rRNA from 1 species
AUGGCGACUAAGCUCGCAGCGCUCAUCGUCUUGGCCGCGUUCCUCGCCGGGCCGGCGGCGUCCGAGGCCGCCAGCAUUUGCUUCAACGGCUGGCUGAGGCUACCCACCUACAACCCGGUGCUCUGUCGCCCCAGGCCGGACGUUCAGACGCGGCAGAGGAGACCUGCUCCCUCGGGGUCAGGGCUCACCUCCGGCUAUUACAACACCAGGUGUCCCAGCGCGGAGAAGAUCGUCACGAAUGCCGUGAAGAAGGCCGUGGAUGCGAAUCCUGGCAUUGGUGCGGGGCUCAUCCGCCUCUUCUUCCACGACUGCUUCCUCCGGGGUUGCGAUGGUUCCGUCCUUCUCAACACGACCAACUCCAAGAACAGCGACACGGAGAGAGAAGGCCCUCCCAACCAGAACAGCCUCCGAGGGUUCGAGGUGGUUGACGAGGCCAAGGCGGCGAUCGAGGCCGCUUGCCCCGACACAGUCUCAUGUGCCGACAUUGUCGCCUACGCCGCCCGCGACGCGUCCUACUUUCUCAGCGACCGCAAGAUCAACAUCCAGAUGCCGGGCGGUCGCUACGACGGCCGCGAGUCCUUCUCCAACGAGACCGACCAGCUGCCCGGGCCCUUCUCCAACCUCCCGGCGCUCCAGGGGAGUUUCGCGGCCAAGGGACUCACCUCCGACGAGAUGGUCACGCUCUCCGGCGCGCACACCAUCGGCCGCGCCCGCUGCUUGUUCUUCUCCAGCCGCUUCUCUGAGAUGGACUCGGCAUAG